UCUUCCCCGCAGCUACGAGGUGCAGCUGGAGAGCAGAGUGCGGCGGCGAGGUUUGGGCAAAUUCCUCCUGCAGAUCCUCCAGCUGGUGGCCAACAGCACCCAGAUGAAGAAGGUGAUGCUGACGGUCUUUAAACACAACCACGGCGCCUACCAGUUCUUCCGAGAAGCGCUCCAUGCGCUGACAACGUGCCGGGGCCGGGACGGGGAAGGGGCAGCCGAGAGAGGUGGGUGAUUUUGGGGGUGUC